UGCCCAUAUUUGUCAACGGAGGAUGAUGUGUUUACAUUAUCAACGUGGAAUGUCGCAAAGUAUUUAUAAUAGAUUUCGAGAAGAGGAAGAGGAAAACAAAAGGCACGAGCAAAGGAUAAUUGUGUUGGUAAGUACAAUAAUGUGGUGAUCCAAUCAUACAUUCAUGUAAAUCUGUUUGGCUAAUCUCCUACCACCCAAUUUUGAUUAUGUUUUUUUUUUUAUAAGCAGGAUCUUUCUAUGACCAUAGAUGCCCUCAUUGAAGGUCCAACACCCGACGUUGAAAAGUAUAAGUAUGUUAAGUGUGAUGACAUACCAAAAGCAACAUCAUUCUAUGACACGCAUGCUUUGUAUUUUGUUCCUGUUCAGUCAAACUCAAUCAACUUUCUCAUGGCUUCGUAUGUAUGAAAAAAAUGAUAUCCUAUUUCGAAAGUUCAUGAUUUGGAGGUUGUUAAUGGCGACGUGCAAUGAAGCCAAGAACGACAUAAAUGGUCUGAUUAUGUAGAUUUAGUCAUAGUGUGAAGUCUGAAUGAACAUUUUAUUUACUAGGUUCAUGUCAAACUGGGACUGGGUAAUUGCUAUUAGUCUGAACUAUUCAACAGGUUUUCCUAUAUCUUGUAUUAAACAGCAUCAUUACGAAUUCCCAAAA